rnacentral:rRNA from 1 species
UACAGAGGGGGCAAGCGUUGUUCGGAAUUACUGGGCGUAAAGGGCGCGUAGGCGGCCUGUUAAGUCGGACGUGAAAUCCCUCGGCUCAACCGGGGAACUGCGUCCGAUACUGGCGGGCUUGAAUUCGGGAGAGGGAUGUGGAAUUCCAGGUGUAGCGGUGAAAUGCGUAGAUAUCUGGAGGAACACCGGUGGCGAAGGCGGCAUCCUGGACCGGCAUUGACGCUGAGGCGCGAAAGCCAGGGGAGCAAACGGG